rnacentral:rRNA from 1 species
AGUGAACGCUGGCGGUAGGCCUAACACAUGCAAGUCGAACGGCAGCACAGUAAGAGCUUGCUCUUACGGGUGGCGAGUGGCGGACGGGUGAGGAAUACAUCGGAAUCUACUUUUUCGUGGGGGAUAACGUAGGGAAACUUACGCUAAUACCGCAUACGACCUACGGGUGAAAGCAGGGGAUCUUCGGACCUUGCGCGAUUGAAUGAGCCGAUGUCGGAUUAGCUAGUUGGCGGGGUAAAGGCCCACCAAGGCGACGAUCCGUAGCUGGUCUGAGAGGAUGAUCAGCCACACUGGAACUGAGGCACGGUCCAGACUCCUACGGGAGGCAGCGGUGGGGAAUAUUGGACAAUGGGCGCAAGCCUGAUCCAGCCAUACCGCGUGGGUGAAGAAGGCCUUCGGGUUGUAAAGCCCUUUUGUUGGGAAAGAAAAGCAGCAGGUUAAUACCCCGCUGUUCUGACGGUACCCAAAGAAUAAGCACCGGCUAACUUCGUG